rnacentral:rRNA from 1 species
GUUAGUGGCGGACGGGUGAGUAACGCGUGGGAAUCUGCCCUCAGGAGGGGGAUAACGGCCGGAAACGGCCGCUAAUACCCCAUAUGCCGAGAGGUGAAAUGAAUUUCGCCUGAGGAUGAGCCCGCGUCUGAUUAGCUAGUUGGUGGGGUAAUGGCCCACCAAGGCGACGAUCAGUAGCUGGUCUGAGAGGAUGAUCAGCCACACUGGGACUGAGACACGGCCCAGACUCCUACGGGAGGCAGCAGUGGGGAAUUUUCCGCAAUGGGCGAAAGCCUGACGGAGCAACGCCGCGUGAGGGAUGAAGGCCUCUGGGCUGUAAACCUCUUUUCUCAAGGAAGAAGACAUGACGGUACUUGAGGAAUAAGCCACGGCUAAUUCCGUGCCAGCAGCCGCGGUAAUACGGGAGUGGCAAGCGUUAUCCGGAAUUAUUGGGCGUAAAGCGUCCGCAGGCGGCCUUGUAAGUCUGUCGUUAAAGCGUGGAGCUUAACUCCAUUUAAGCGAUGGAAACUACAAGGCUUGAGUGUGGUAGGGGCAGAGGGAAUUCCCGGUGUAGCGGUGAAAUGCGUAGAUAUCGGGAAGAACACCAGUGGCGAAGGCGCUCUGCUGGGCCAUAACUGACGCUCAUGGACGAAAGCCAGGGGAGCGAAAGGGAUUAGAUACCCCUGUAGUCCUGGCCGUAAACGAUGAACACUAGGUGUCGGGGGAAUCGACCCCCUCGGUGUCGUAGCUAACGCGUUAAGUGUUCCGCCUGGGGAGUACGCACGCAAGUGUGAAACUCAAAGGAAUUGACGGGGGCCCGCACAAGCGGUGGAGUAUGUGGUUUAAUUCGAUGCAACGCGAAGAACCUUACCAGGGUUUGACAUCCUGCGAAUCCCUUGGAAACGAGGGAGUGCCUUCGGGAGCGCAGAGACAGGUGGUGCAUGGCUGUCGUCAGCUCGUGUCGUGAGAUGUUGGGUUAAGUCCCGCAACGAGCGCAACCCACGUCUUUAGUUGCCAGCAUUCAGUUGGGCACUCUAGAGAGACCGCCGGUGAUAAACCGGAGGAAGGUGUGGAUGACGUCAAGUCAUCAUGCCCCUUACAUCCUGGGCUACACACGUACUACAAUGCUACGGACAAAGGGUUGCAAGCUCGCGAGAGUUAGCUAAUCCCAUAAACCGUGGCUCAGUUCAGAUCGUAGGCUGCAACUCGCCUACGUGAAGGAGGAAUCGCUAGUAAUCGCAGGUCAGCAUACUGCGGUGAAUACGUUCCCGGGCCUUGUACACACCGCCCGUCACACCAUGGAAGUUGGCCAUGCCCGAAGUCGUUACUCCAACCCUUGUGGAGGAGGACGCCGAAGGUGGGGCUGAUGACUGGGGUGAAGUCGUAACAAGGUAGCCGUACCGGAAGGUGCGGCUGGAUCACCUCCU